CGGUCAUUCAACAGUGUUUUUAUCUCAUAUAAAUCAGCAAAUAAUACUUUUAGGUAUGACUUUUUAGCCAAACAAAUAGGCUGUUAACAUUUCGGAGUGUGUGUGUGAGGGGUGAGGGGAGGGGGUGAGGGGAGGGAAACUACUUAGCAACUUGGCAGACCAAAUGUACUAAUCAUAGGCGGACAACCUGUGGAAGGGACGACUUGUUAGCCACACCUCACACAGAUCCCACUUUUUUUUUAUUUUAUUAACCCAAUCCUUUUUUUUAACCUUUUUGGCCAUGCCACUACCAAGAAGAAAUCACGCUACCACAUCAAAUGUGUUGGCACAUCAAAAUAUACCACAUUGAGCGGCGAGCACCUAGAAAAUCUUGACACGCUUUACCGAUCUCAAAUGGAAAAUCAGAAACUAAAAAAGUUAUAUCAUUGAGAACUAUAAUUUUUUCAUCUAAAAAUAGUUUUAUUUGACAACAUAUAGGAAAGAUAUUGUGUUACACCCUUGGUGUUAACAUCUACUGCUUGGCAAGUGGCAACCACAAGUCAACACCAGGAUGGUGCAUGUGAAACAGGGUCUUCAGUGAAGAGAAUGAAGCUUUGUUGGCAAGAUGACGACAGUACAGAAAUGUCCUUUCCACGCCAGCCCGUAUAGGUGCUCGAUGCCAGCAGGUUCUGCAUCCCAUCCACUAAAUAUAGAUAAAAAAAAUAACUAAUUACAUAGUUUACUUGUAAUUUACGUGACGAAUUUUUUAACCCUAGUUAAUUAGUCCAUGAUUAGAUAAUAUU
rnacentral:lncRNA from 1 species